CACGUAGGGUGCGAGCGUUGUCCGGAAUUAUUGGGCGUAAAGAGCUCGUAGGCGGUGUGUCGCGUCGGCCGUGAAAACCUGCAGCUUAACUGUGGGCUUGCGGUCGAUACGGGCAUCACUGGAGUUCGGCAGGGGAGACUGGAAUUCCUGGUGUAGCGGUGAAAUGCGCAGAUAUCAGGAGGAACACCGGUGGCGAAGGCGGGUCUCUGGGCCGAUACUGACGCUGAGUGCGCGAAAGCCCAGGGGAGCAAACGGGG
rnacentral:rRNA from 1 species